UACGUAGGAGGCAAGCGUUGUCCGGAUUUACUGGGUGUAAAGGGUCCGCAGGCGGACAUGUAAGUCGGUGGUGAAAUCCUUCAGCUUAACUGAAGAGCUGCCUCCGAUACUGUGUGUCUUGAAUGCACGAGAGGGCAACGGAAUUCCAGGUGUAGCGGUGAAAUGCUUAGAUAUCUGGAAGAACACCGGUUGCGAAGGCUGUUGCCUGGCGUGUCAUUGACGCUCAUGGACGAAAGCGUGGGGAUCAAACAGGAUUAGAUACCCUGGUAGUCCACGCCGUAAACGAUGGAUACUCGGUGUUGGCCCGCGAGGGUCGGUGCCUAAGCUAACGCAGUAAGUAUCCCACCUGGGAAGUACGAUCGCAAGGUUGAA
rnacentral:rRNA from 1 species